UACGUAGGGGGCAAGCGUUGUCCGGAAUCAUUGGGCGUAAAGCGCGUGUAGGCGGCUCGAUAAGUCCGUUCUGAAAGUCCAGGGCUCAACCCUGGGAUGCGGAUGGAUACUGUCGAGCUCGAGUCCGGAAGAGGCGAGUGGAAUUCCUGGUGUAGCGGUGAAAUGCGCAGAUAUCAGGAGGAACACCGAUGGCGAAGGCAGCUCGCUGGGACGGUACUGACGCUGAGGCGCGAAAGCGUGGGGAGCGAACAGG
rnacentral:rRNA from 1 species